CCUACGGGAGGCAGCAGUGGGGAAUAUUGCACAAUGGGGGAAACCCUGAUGCAGCGACGCCGCGUGAAGGAAGAAGUAUUUCGGUAUGUAAACUUCUAUCAGCAGGGAAGAAAAUGACGGUACCUGACUAAGAAGCCCCGGCUAACUACGUGCCAGCAGCCGCGGUAAUACGUAGGGGGCAAGCGUUAUCCGGAUUUACUGGGUGUAAAGGGAGCGUAGGCGGUUUAGCAAGUCAGAAGUGAAAGCCCGGGGCUCAACUCCGGGACUGCUUUUGAAACUGUUGAACUAGAGUGCAGGAGAGGUAAGUGGAAUGCCUAGUGUAGCGGUGAAAUGCGUAGAUAUUAGGAGGAACACCAGUGGCGAAGGCGGCUUACUGGACUGUAAAUGACGCUGAGGCUCGAAAGCGUGGGGAGCAAACAGGAUUAGAUACCCGAGUAGUC
rnacentral:rRNA from 1 species